GUGAAUCAUCGAGUCUUUGAACGCAAAUGGCACUCUUGUGUAAGCAAGAGUAUGUCUGUUUGAGAAUCGCAAACCCGAUCUACUCUAGAUAGAGUGAGGUAUUGGCUUUAGGACGCGUAAGCGAUCUUUAGCUUGAAUGUAUUAAGGCUGAUGAGUUCCCAAUGGUGGCCUCAAUGUGUGCUAGCGGACAGAUGUUUUGAUGUCACAUUGACGGCUCCAAUGCAAGCUCUAUAAACGGCCUCCUGCUGGUUCUGUGGGAGGAGGAGGAAAGGGGGACGGCGACAUGGUCAAACAUGCCGUCAUCACCAUCUCAUCAUCAUCACAGCAGGAUCAGAUCAUCUAUUACGAUCUCAAAUCAGGCAAGAUUACCCGCUGAACUUAAGCAUAUCAAUAAGCGGAGG
rnacentral:rRNA from 1 species